rnacentral:rRNA from 1 species
AAAUGAAUUGACGGGUCCCCGCACAAGCAGUGGAGCAUGUGGUUUAAUUCGACGCUACGCGAGAAACCUUACCAGAACUUGACAUGGUUAGUAAGGCCGUAGAGAUACGGAGAUAAUAUUAAUACACAGGUGGUGCAUGGUUGUCGUCAGCUCGUGUCGUGAGAUGUUGGGUUAAGUCCCCUAACGAGCGCAACCCUUGUCCUUAGUUGCCAGCAUUCAGUUGGGAACUCUAAGGAGACUGCCGAUGUAAAUCGGAGGAAGGUGGGGAUGACGUCAAAUCAGCAUGCCCUUUAUGUUCUGGGCCACACACGUGCUACAAUGGCCGGUACAAAGAGACGCGAACCUGCGAAGGCAAGCAAAUCUCAGAAAGCCGGUCUCAGUUCAGACUGAAGUCUGCAAUUCGACUUCACGAAGGCGGAAUUGCUAGUAAUCGCGGAUCAGCAUGCCGCGGUGAAUACGUUCCCGGGGAUUGUACACACCGCCCGU